AACCUCCGCAAUGUGAGAAAUCGCGACGGGGGGAUCCCAAGUGCCAUUCUUAACGGGAUGGCUUUUCAUUAGUGUAAAGAGCCUUUGGAAUAAGGGCUGGGCAAGACCGGUGCCAGCCGCCGCGGUAACACCGGCAGCUCUAGUGGUAGCAGUUUUUAUUGGGCCUAAAGCGUCCGUAGCCGGUUUAAUAAGUCUCUGGUGAAAUCCUGUAGCUUAACUGUGGGAAUAGCUGGAGAUACUAUUAGACUUGAGACCGGGAGAGGUUAGAGGUACUCCCAGGGUAGAGGUGAAAUUCUGUAAUCCUGGGAGGACCGCCUGUUGCGAAGGCGUCUAACUGGAACGGUUCUGACGGUGAGGGACGAAAGUUAGGGGCGCGAACCGGAUUAGAUACCCGGGUAGUCCUAACUGUAAACGAUGCGGACUUGGUGUUGGGGUGGCUUUGAGCUGCUCCAGUGCCGAAGGGAAGCUGUUAAGUCCGCCGCCUGGGAAGUACGGUCGCAAGACUGAAACUUAAAGGAAUU
rnacentral:rRNA from 1 species